AAAAAAUUACAGAGGCUCCAGAUCAUGUAAUCUUUCUUCAGAGAGGAUUCACCUUUUUCUCUGCUGGGCAGGUAGAGAGAAGACUGAUCACCCUAAAUCCAGUCAAGGACUAAGCUUUGUUCACAGGGGGUAAGGCUUCAAUUACCUCUCCAGUGCAUAGCUCUCCUGGGCUUCCAGAUGGGGGCCUGCUGUGUUCACUGGAGCCUCUCCUUCUGUCUAGUCCUCCACUUUAUUAUUUUUUUUCUUUCCUCACUCAAAAACUCAGAUCUUCUUUUUCUGGUCUUUUUGUCUUGGGUUCUUAGUUUCCCUUCUCAUUCAGAAUUCAAGAGCGAUCCUGGGGAGAACCUACAUGUGCCAGCUCUAGUGCUGUGUCUUCCCGUUAUGACUUCGUUAAAUUAACGUUUGCUAAGAGAAGCACGGGGUGCUGGAUGGUGAGCCACAGUUCAACAAAGGACCAUAAGAGAAAUUGGAAUAGAGAAGUUUAUUACUCACAGGACCUGGAGGAAGUACAUGGCAUACCUCGAGGAGCCACACGGAGAGGAGAGGUCAAGUAAAGGUGCAAGCAGAGAGAGAGGCAGGACCUGGUUCCAGGUGGUGUGUACUACCCCUGGGACAAUUUGUCCCUCUCAGCCAGCUCAAAAGGACCAUUGCCUUAGAUGACACAGAAGAUGGAUGUUUUCACCUUGACCUUGUUGGCAUAUCUUCAUUAUUCCCACCCUUCCAACCGAUACUCCUCUUCCUCCUCCCCACCUGAGGGGCAAGUGGAAUCAAAGAACUGCCUCUUAUUAAAUACCUGAGUGCUUACACCAUAGACCUACGUUGGGAGCCCAUAUGCAUCACUGCCUCCUGAAAUGAGACAGCUGUUUAACUGAACUGAGCUAUUGUCAAGACCAAGAGACUGGUUCGAUAAAAUGGAGCAAUCUACCAACUUAACUUCUGGACUGUGAAACUUUUGGGGGAAGUUUCAAAGGCAAGACUUGGGGAGCAGAAUAUGUGACUCCAAAAUGUGCCACUGUGGCAUCAUUUUGAGCUGGAUCAUUUUGAGCUGAAGACAAGACCCAGCAGUCUCAAGAAAACCUUUUCCCUCUCCCUUAACUACCUAAAAAAUUUAGAUAGGGGGCCUGGCCCAGAAAGAAAGCUAUUACCAGCGAUAACUUUUUAUCUGAAAGACUGAUCUGUAUGGCAAGACAAACAUCUAAUUACAAAACAUCUGCUCUUCUUGUUGUCCUGUGAAUUACUCUCCUUCUCUUUGUAACCCCAGGCCCCUAUCCCAUUCCUUAGCUUAGGAGGGCAUAUCAGGCUCAACUGCUUGACUUGAACUUGAGUCCCAUAUCUUUGGGGCUCCUAAAC
rnacentral:lncRNA from 1 species